GAUGAACGCUGGCGGCGUGCCUAAUACAUGCAAGUCGAGCGAACAGACGAGGAGCUUGCUCCUCUGACGUUAGCGGCGGACGGGUGAGUAACACGUGGAUAACCUACCUAUAAGACUGGGAUAACUUCGGGAAACCGGAGCUAAUACCGGAUAAUAUAUUGAACCGCAUGGUUCAAUAGUGAAAGACGGUUUUGCUGUCACUUAUAGAUGGAUCCGCGCCGCAUUAGCUAGUUGGUAAGGUAACGGCUUACCAAGGCGACGAUGCGUAGCCGACCUGAGAGGGUGAUCGGCCACACUGGAACUGAGACACGGUCCAGACUCCUACGGGAGGCAGCAGUAGGGAAUCUUCCGCAAAGGGCGAAAGCCUGACGGGGCAACGCCGCGUGAGUGAUGAAGGUCUUCGGAUCGUAAAACUCUGUUAUUAGGGAAGAACAAAUGUGUAAGUAACUAUGCACGUCUUGACGGUACCUAAUCAGAAAGCCACGGCUAACUACGUG
rnacentral:rRNA from 1 species